UACAGAGGGGGCAAGCGUUGUUCGGAAUUACUGGGCGUAAAGGGCGCGUAGGCGGCCUUCUAAGUCAGACGUGAAAUCCCCGGGCUCAACCCGGGAACUGCGUCUGAGACUGGAAGGCUCGAAUCCGGGAGAGGGAUGCGGAAUUCCAGGUGUAGCGGUGAAAUGCGUAGAUAUCUGGAGGAACACCGGUGGCGAAGGCGACAUCCUGGACCGGUAUUGACGCUGAGGCGCGAAAGCCAGGGGAGCAAACGGG
rnacentral:rRNA from 1 species